UGCGUAGGCGGAACUUUAAGUCAGUGGUGAAAUCCUGCGGCUCAACCGUAGAACUGCCAUUGAUACUGAUGUUCUUGAAUGCAGUUGAGGUAGGCGGAGUGUGUAAUGUAGCGGUGAAAUGCUUAGAUAUUACACAGAACACCGAUUGCGAAGGCAGCUUGCUAAACUGUGAUUGACGCUGAUGCACGAAAGCGUGGGGAGCGAACAGGAUUAGAUACCCUGGUAGUCC
rnacentral:rRNA from 1 species